rnacentral:rRNA from 1 species
CUCUUGACAUCCAGAGAACUUGGCAGAGAUGCCUCGGUGCCUUCGGGAACUCUGAGACAGGUGCUGCAUGGCUGUCGUCAGCUCGUGUUGUGAAAUGUUGGGUUAAGUCCCGCAACGAGCGCAACCCCCUAUCCUUUGUUGCCAGCGAUUCGGUCGGGAACUCAAAGGAGACUGCCGGUGAUAAACCGGAGGAAGGUGGGGAUGACGUCAAGUCAUCAUGGCCCUUACGAGUAGGGCUACACACGUGCUACAAUGGCGUAUACAAAGAGAAGCGACCUCGCGAGAGCAAGCGGACCUCAUAAAGUACGUCGUAGUCCGGAUUGGAGUCUGCAACUCGACUCCAUGAAGUCGGAAUCGCUAGUAAUCGUAGAUCAGAAUGCUACGGUGAAUACGUUCCCGGGCCUUGUACACACCGCCCGUCACACCAUGGGAGUGGGUUGCAAAAGAAGUAGAUAGCUUAACCUUCGGGAGGGCGUUUACCACUUUGUGAUUCAUGACUGGGGUGAAGUCGUAACAAGGUAAGCGUACGUGU